rnacentral:ncRNA from 2 species
UUCUUAUCAAGAGUAGGCGGAGGGACCAGCCCGAUGAAGCCCGGCAACCGGCGUAUUAACGCACGGUGCUAAUUCUUGCGGAUAUGCCAUAAUUGGUUAUGUCUGAGAGAUGAGAG